GAUGAACGCUGGCGGCGUGCCUAAUACAUGCAAGUCGAGCGAACGGACGAGAAGCUUGCUUCUCUGAUGUUAGCGGCGGACGGGUGAGUAACACGUGGAUAACCUACCUAUAAGACUGGGAUAACUUCGGGAAACCGGAGCUAAUACCGGAUAAUAUUUUGAACCGCAUGGUUCAAAAGUGAAAGACGGUCUUGCUGUCACUUAUAGAUGGAUCCGCGCUGCAUUAGCUAGUUGGUAAGGUAACGGCUUACCAAGGCAACGAUGCAUAACCGACCUGAGAGGGUGAUCGGCCACACUGGAACUGAGACACGGUCCAGACUCCUACGGGAGGCAGCAGUAGGGAAUCUGCCGCAAUGGGCGAAAGCCUGACGGAGCAACGCCGCGUGAGUGAUGAAGGUCUUCGGAUCGUAAAACUCUGUUAUUAGGGAAGAACAUAUGUGUAAGUAACUGUGCACAUCUUGACGGUACCUAAUCAGAAAGCCACGGCUAACUACGUG
rnacentral:rRNA from 1 species